rnacentral:rRNA from 1 species
AGAGUUUGAUCCUGGCUCAGAUUGAACGCUGGCGGCAUGCCUUACACAUGCAAGUCGAACGGUAACAGGUUAAGCUGACGAGUGGCGAACGGGUGAGUAAUAUAUCGGAACGUGCCCAGUCGUGGGGGAUAACGCAGCGAAAGCUGUGCUAAUACCGCAUACGAUCUAUGGAUGAAAGCGGGGGACUUGCAAGAGCCUCGCGCGAUUGGAGUGGCCGAUAUCAGAUUAGCUAGUUGGUGGGGUAAAAGCUCACCAAGGCGACGAUCUGUAGCUGGUCUGAGAGGACGACCAGCCACACUGGAACUGAGACACGGUCCAGACUCCUACGGGAGGCAGCAGUGGGGAAUUUUGGACAAUGGGCGCAAGCCUGAUCCAGCAAUGCCGCGUGCAGGAUGAAGGCCUUCGGGUUGUAAACUGCUUUUGUACGGAGCGAAAAGGUUCUUUCUAAUACAAGGGAUUCAUGACGGUACCGUAAGAAUAAGCACCGGCUAACUACGUGCCAGCAGCCGCGGUAAUACGUAGGGUGCGAGCGUUAAUCGGAAUUACUGGGCGUAAAGCGUGCGCAGGCGGUUUUGUAAGACAAAUGUGAAAACCCCGGGCUCAACCUGGGAACUGCAUAUGUGACUGCAAGGCUAGAGUACGGUAGAGGGGGAUGGAAUUCCGCGUGUAGCAGUGAAAUGCGUAGAUAUGCGGAGGAACACCGAUGGCGAAGGCAAUCCCCUGGACCUGUACUGACGCUCAUGCACGAAAGCGUGGGGAGCAAACAGGAUUAGAUACCCUGGUAGUCCACGCCCUAANCGAUGUCAACUGGUUGUUGGGUCUUUACUGACUCAGUAACGAAGCUAACGCGUGAAGUUGACCGCCUGGGGAGUACGGCCGCAAGGUUG